CUACUCUUGACAUCCAGAGAAUUUAGCAGAGAUGCUUUAGUGCCUUCGGGAACUCUGAGACAGGUGCUGCAUGGCUGUCGUCAGCUCGUGUUGUGAAAUGUUGGGUUAAGUCCCGCAACGAGCGCAACCCUUAUCCUUUGUUGCCAGCGGUUCGGCCGGGAACUCAAAGGAGACUGCCAGUGAUAAACUGGAGGAAGGUGGGGAUGACGUCAAGUCAUCAUGGCCCUUACGAGUAGGGCUACACACGUGCUACAAUGGCAUAUACAAAGAGAAGCGACCUCGCGAGAGCAAGCGGACCUCACAAAGUAUGUCGUAGUCCGGAUCGGAGUCUGCAACUCGACUCCGUGAAGUCGGAAUCGCUAGUAAUCGUAGAUCAGAAUGCUACGGUGAAUA
rnacentral:rRNA from 1 species